rnacentral:ncRNA from 1 species
UAAGAUGGGCCCUAGAAAGCCUCGUAAGCACAAAAGCUUGGUCCUGACUUUACUGUCAGCUUUGGUUAUAUUUAUACAUGCAAGUAUCAGCACCCCUGUGAGAAUGCCCUACAUAUUCCCCACCCCGGGAAAAAGGAGCAGGCAUAAGGCACAACCCGGAGUUAGCCCAUAACGCCUUGCUUAGCCACACCCCCAAGGGAACUCAGCAGUAAUAAACAUUAAGCAAUAAGUGAAAACUUGACUUAGUUAAAACCAAGAGGGCCGGUAAAACUCGUGCCAGCCACCGCGGUUAUACGAGAGGCCCAAGUUGACAAAUACCGGCGUAAAAUGUGGUUAACAUGACAAUGCACUAAAGCUAAACAUCUUCAGAGCUGUUAUACCCACAUGAAGACAGGAAGUACUUCUACGAAAGUGGCUUUAAACAAUGCUAUCCACGAAAGCUAGGAAACAAACUGGGAUUAGAUACCCCACUAUGCCUAGCCUUAAACACAAGCGAUGCCUUUACACCUUUCGCUUGCCAGGGAACUACGAGCCCCAGCUUAAAACCCAAAGGACUUGGCGGUGCUUUAGACCCCCCUAGAGGAGCCUGUUCUAGAACCGAUAACCCCCGUUAAACCUCACCUUCUCUUGUUCAUCCCGCCUAUAUACCGCCGUCGUCAGCUUACCCUGUGAAGGAUUAACCGUGAGCUUAAUUGGUACAACCUAAAACGUCAGGUCGAGGUGUAGCGUACGAGAGGGGAAGAAAUGGGCUACAUUCACUGAACCAGUGCAUACGAACAAUGCUUUGAAACCAAGCGUUCGAAGGAGGAUUUAGCAGUAAGGGGAGAAUAGCGUGCUUCCCUGAAAUUGGCCCUGAAGCGCGCACACACCGCCCGUCACUCUCCCCAAAGAUAGACUAGCAUUAAAUAAAAAUCAACUUUAAAAAAGGGGAGGCAAGUCGUAACAUGGUAAGUGUACCGGAAGGUGCACUUGGAAAAAU